rnacentral:pre_miRNA from 1 species
CCGUCCCAAAAUUCUUGUCUUAGAUUUGUCUAGAUACAGAUGUAUCAAGUCACAUUUUAGUAUUAGAUACAUCCGUAUCUAGACAAAUCUAAGACAAGAAAUUUGGGACAG